rnacentral:rRNA from 1 species
UACGAAGGGGGCUAGCGUUGCUCGGAAUUACUGGGCGUAAAGCGCACGUAGGCGGCUAUUCAAGUCGGGGGUGAAAGCCCGGGGCUCAACCCCGGAACUGCCCUCGAAACUAGGUAGCUAGAAUCUUGGAGAGGUCAGUGGAAUUCCGAGUGUAGAGGUGAAAUUCGUAGAUAUUCGGAAGAACACCAGUGGCGAAGGCGACUGACUGGACAAGUAUUGACGCUGAGGUGCGAAAGCGUGGGGAGCAAACAGG